GUUUGAUUAUGGCUCAGAUUGAACGCUGGCGGGAUGCUUUACAUGCAAGUCGAACGGCAGCACGGACUUCGGUCUGGUGGCGAGUGGCGAACGGGUGAGUAAUGUAUCGGAACGUGCCUAGUAGCGGGGAUAACUACGCGAAAGCGUAGCUAAUACCGCAUACGCCCUUCGGGGGAAAGCGGGGACCUCGGGCCUCGCACUAUUAGAGCGGCCGAUACCGGAUUAGCUAGCUUGGUGGGGUAACGGUCACCGAAGGCGACGAUCCGUAGCUGGUUUGAGAGGACGACCAGCCACACUGGGACUGAGACACGGCCCAGACUCCUACGGGAGGCAGCAGUGGGGAAUUUUGGACAAUGGGGAAACCCUGAUCCAGCCAUCCCGCGUGUGCGAUGAAGCGCCCUUCGCUGGAAAGCACUUUGGCAGGAAAGAAACGGCACGGGAUAAUACCCCGUGCAACUGACGGUACCUGCAGAAUAAGCACUGGCUAACUACGUGCCAGCAGCCGCGGUAAUACGUAGGGUAAGCGUUAAUCGGAAUUACUGGGCGAAGCGGUGCAGGCGGUUCGAAAGAAAGAUGUGAAAUCCCAGAGCUUAACUUUGGAACUGCAUUUUUAACUACCGAGCUAGAGUGUGUCAGGGAGGGAGGUGGAAUUCCGCGUGUAGCAGUGAAAUGCGUAGAUAUGCGGAGGAACACCGAUGGCGAAGGGGCAGCCUCCUGGGAUAACACUGACGCUCAUGCACGAAAGCGUGGGGAGCAAACAGGAUUAGAUACCCUGGUAGUCCACGCCCUAAACGAUACUGGCUCGAUGUUGGGGCCUUCGGGCUCUGGUGUAGCGCAGCUAACGCGUGAAGUUGACCGCCUGGGGAGUACGGUCGCAAGAUUAAAACUCAAAGGAAUUGACGGGGACUCGCACAAGCGGUGGAUGAUGAUUAAUUCGAUGCAACGCGAAAAACCUUACCUUACCCUUGACAUGUCUGGAAUCCUGAAGAGAUUUGGAGUGCUCGCAAGAGAACCGGAACACAGGUGCUGCAUGGCUGUCGCUUCUAGCUCGUGUCGUGAGAUGUUGCUAAGUCCCAACGAGCGCAACCCUUGUCAUUAGUUGCUACGAAAGGGCACUCUAAUGAGACUGCCGGUGACAAACCGGAGGAAGGUGGGGAUGACGUCAAGUCCUCAUGGCUCCUGCGGUAGGGCUUCACACUUCGGUCAUACAAUGGCUCGGACAGAGGGUCGCCAACCCGCGAGGGGGAGCCAAUCCCAGAAACCCGAUCGUAAACCGGAUCGCAGUCUGCAACUCGACUGCGUGAAGUCGGAAUCGUUAGUAAUCGCGGAUCAGCAUGUCGCGGUGAAUACGUUCCCGGUCUUGUACACACCGCCCGUCACACCAUGGGAGUGGUUUCUACCAGAAGUAGUUAGCUCAACUGUAAGGAGGGCGAUUACCACGGUAGGAUUCACGACUGGGGGUGAAGUCGUAACAAGGU
rnacentral:rRNA from 1 species